UACCAUCCUUUAUUUUGUUUGUUCUCAAAAAAUGAGAAAUUAUAGGACGACAAAAAAUAAUUAUCGUCUGACUAAGAUAUUUCAAUUUCGUUAAUACCAUUCAAAGAAGAAUCAUUUGUAUCUGUUUGUUCAUACCUCUCUUGAUUUCAUUUUUACCUUCAAAGGGUUCAGAACUAAAGCGCAUUUCAAUUUUCGAAAAUAUCAAGUUCCGAACUCUUUGAAAUAGAAAACGCGGGGUACAAACAAUUCUUUAUCGAAUGAAAUUAACAAAGUUAAUAAGUAUCUUGUAGUAGUCAGGCGUGACCAUUUAAAAAAUAUUUUUUGAAGAGGGCUCUUACAAAACGAUUGCCACCUAUACUUCGCACACACCGCAUUAUACAUAUUCCUGAUUGCACACAUUUCCAACUGCACACAGAACGAUUGCGUAAAAGCAUUAUUGCGCACAUGUCACUUUGCACGACCAUAUUACACGCAUACACACGAACAUACGACCGUGCCUCGCACAUGACCAUAUUGCGCACAUUUCCAUACUGCACACAUGCAUAUUGUAAAACUUUGUUUUGCAAGUUGGAAAGCUGGAAAACCCAUAUGGAAUCAUACAAUUACCUUGUUUCGCAAUGCACGCACCGGGCGAUAUAAGGGUGGAUUUCGCUUAAUCCAUGUGGACUGUACUUUGAGUGGAAAAUUGCAAACCAUAAAACCGUAAUCGUAAAACCGUAUAAUUGUGGAUCUCUUUGAUCUGUAAAGUGCAUGUGUGCAGAAUGUGUGCGACACAGCUAUGUGUGCAGUGCGCUGUGUUCAAUAUAAGUGCAAUUUGCUGUGUGCAAUACGGUCGUGUAUGCAAUGUGCUGUGUACAAUCUGAUCGUGUACAAAAUGAUAUGUGCACAAUAAUGCUUGUAGGCAAUCGCUCUGUGUGCAAUUGGGAAUGUGUGCAAUUGAAAACGUGUGCAAUGCGGUAUAUACCGACAUAUAGACUAUAUCGACAUAUAGACUGUAAUAUAUAUCGUAAUAGGCAACGCUUGCUAUAGAAUAAGAGGGAUUACAUAGGGAGCCUAUGUCAUCUCUUUUGCUAGUAUCCCAUUGGUGAUUUUGUCCCCUUCUAAUUCUGGAGAAGGACAAACUCACCAAUGCUAGCAAAAGAAACAACACAGACCUCUUAUGCAGUCCCUUUCACUCUACAGCAAACGCAUAUUUUUCUACAGAGGACAGUCAGUUCAUCUCCAUGUAUUUAUAUCGAUGAAUGUGUACAAAUAAAAUUGUGGCGGCAAUCGUUUUGGAAUCUCUCCAAUUUUUUUACCUUCUAAGAUACAAAGAAUACAAAGAGUGGCACAAACACAGGUGUUUAUGCACUAUUACUCACAAAAACAUGUGUGCACGAUGUGAGGGUCCGCAGUACAUUGAGCUCAGAUCCACUGGAUUCGCUAAGCCCAAAUGACUGCACGGAUCAGUCAUUCCCGCAUGGGAAUAAUAGAACAGACGCAACGAUCAGAGAUACCUGUACUAGUACGCUUUGAAUGAGAAUGAAGGAUACGCAGAGCCCUCGAACGAGUCGACGUUUCGGCUUUUCAUAGGGCCACAGGCCGAUCGACUCCAUUAGAUGUCGGGUAAAAUAGUAUUCAUUGUUGAAGAAAUCCAUUCCGAUUGGUAGUUGCUGCGAUUUUGUGCACGCAGAUUUGCAAAGAUUACGGCGAUCCUACCAUUCUACCGGUUAUUGGAAUAUUUUAGUAGCUAUUACAAACUUAUUGCAUACGUUUUGCCGCGUCAUGAUGAUGAUAAUACAGGGCAUUACGAGGAAUCUGAUACCCCGGAGGACAAUUUAUAUAAAUUAACUUACUACCAAAACGACCUUUAAAGUAAGAUUGGAUGAGUCAUUCGACUAUCGUGCACCACAGACUAAAAGACUGAUUGCAACGUAAGGCAACUAAAUUACAUGUUUAAUGUAACCACUGGUGAUUUUCCCCGGGGGUGAAACGGUGGCAAUUCCAGCAUUUUUACGCACGCGCGAUGCGACAAAGAAUUUCUUACAUUCAUAGCUGCCCGUGCAGUAGACUGUCGCGUGAUAGUUUUUCUUCUAGAGACAUGUCUCGCAAAUACGUUACGAUACGGACAAGCUAUAGAGAGAAUACGUGUGAAACCAUUACUUUAAAAUUAGCUUUGAUGAGCUGAAAGUGCACGUGAAGAAAAUAUCAUAAAGGUAUGAAGGAUGAGUGUUGUGUUGCGUGAGAGUGUUGUGUUUAAGAAAAACAUUAGUAAGAAAAAUAUAUAUUAUUAUAAAUGGUAAUAAAAAAUUGAUAGAUUGAUUAAACAAUAAAAUCUCGUGUAUCAUGGUGAAAUAAGUUUUAUUGCGUGAUAGCACAGUCUUUAAAAUAUGAAAAAAGGUAUUAUAGAUGAUCGUAGCCAUAUUUUUGCCAUAUCGAUAUAAAUCAUGUCCGAGUAGAAUAGAGUAGCAUAGAGUAUGACAAAGACAUGUUAAUAAGCUAUAACAAAAUUUAGGCAUUAUUUAUUCUAAACAUAUUACAUUUUACAUUCGUAUUCGAAAUACUUAUUUUCAUUCAAAUACAUUUAUUCAUAACAGAGAAUGAUUACCGUAGCAACCCCGUCCAAUGAGAAUGCAAACAUAUUACCAACAUCGAACAAGGCGUUCUUCGAAGAUCUGUGUAGUAUAAAUAAUAUUUUUUUCUGAAUAUGUGUCGACACCAUGUACCAUCGUACAUUAUAACUGUAAAUACAAAUAAUUAAUUCCUAAUAUAUAACGGAUAUUGUAUUCUAUCUAUUAAAAUAAGUGGAUUACACAUUUUUAAUUUGCCACUUACGUUUGUGCAAAUA